GACGGAGGAUGCAAGCGGUAUCCGGAAUGAUUGGGCGUAAAGCGUUCGCAGGUGGCUGUUCAAGUCUGCUGUCAAAGACCGGGGCUUAACCCUAGAAAGGCAGUGGAAACUGGACGGCUGGAGUGCAGUAUGGGUAGAGGGAAUUCCCAGUGUAGCGGUGAAAUGCGUAGAGAUUGGGAAGAACACCGGUGGCGAAAGCGCUCUGCUGGACUGCAACUGACACUGAGGGACGAAAGCUAGGGGAGCGAAAGGG
rnacentral:rRNA from 1 species